GUGUUGUCUUCUUUUUUUUUUUGCCACUGCUAUCAUGUGCUGCUGUUACUUUGAAAAUUUAUUUUUUUUUAAUCCUAGGAGAUUGCCAUGAAGAAGGCAAAUGAGAAAGCACUCGUGUCAAGUGACAUAAAACUCACGUUUGGCUACCAGGAGAAAGCUCUGACUCCAGGAGCUGAAAUCUAUAAAGCUGGACCUCUGGUGAUGACCUGGGGAGUAGUUACCAGGUUUAUUGAGCUGGUGUAUUAGAUUUCCUGCUGCAUGAGCAAGAAGAUUAUGGUGGCUUACGUCUAAGUGUACUUUUGGGAGACAUUUUGUAUUUUCUCUAUAAAUAGUCUUUCUAAAACACAAUUUUGAAACUAUUAAUGUUUAUAUCGCAUUAUACAUCUCUCUAAGUUUACUGUCCUGAGUAUACAGUAUGGUUGCAAGAGGAAAUCUUUUUGUCUAGGAAACGUGUUUAGAAUUGUCAUUGUUAAAAGGCUGCUAAAAGGUAGGUUUGCUACUAAAAGGCAGGUUUGUUAUAUUUAUCUUUUUAUCCUUGUGGUAUUUUUGGCUUAUUACACAGAGUCGUUCCUGUUUUCAACAACAGUAAAAUUACAUCUCUUCGGGAGUUAAGCACUUCAGUAGAAAUUGCAAAUGUUUAGUUCCUAGUAGAAUUGUGGGCAUCCUGGCUAUUCCAUUUGUGUCAGAAAAAUGUCAAAGGAGUCAAUUGAAAUUAUGAGCUCUUCACAGAUAAAACUUAGACUUGAGGUUGAAUGUUGAACUUGUAUUUUACACUGUAUAAACUCUUCUUUUCACCUUAACCAAAGGAAUGCAGUUAUUAUAGAAUUUAAAGAAAGAAACCCUGGAAAG
rnacentral:lncRNA from 1 species